rnacentral:rRNA from 1 species
GACGAACGCUGGCGGCGUGCUUAACACAUGCAAGUCGAACGGAAAGGCCCUGCUUUUGUGGGGUGCUCGAGUGGCGAACGGGUGAGUAACACGUGAGUUACCUGCCCUUUACUUUGGGAUAACUUCAGGAAACUGGGGCUAAUACCGGAUAGGAGCUCCUGCUGCAUGGUGGGGGUUGGAAAGUUUCGGCGGUUGGGGCUGGACUCGCGGCUUAUCAGCUUGUUGGUGGGGUAGUGGCUUACCAAGGCUUUGACGGGUAGCCGGCCUGAGAGGGUGACCGGCCACAUUGGGACUGAGAUACGGACCAGAAUCCUACGGGAGGCAGCAGUGGGGAAUAUUGCACAAUGGGCGGAAGCCUGAUGCAGCAACGCCGCGUGCGGGAUGACGGCCUUCGGGUUGUAAACCGCUUUCGCCUGUGACGAAGCGUGAGUGACGGUAAUGGGUAAAGAAGCAACGGCUAACUACGUG